UAACUAUAACGGUCCUAAGGUAGCGAAAUUCCUUGUCGGGUAAGUUCCGACCUGCACGAAUGGCGUAAUGAUGGCCAGGCUGUCUCCACCCGAGACUCAGUGAAAUUGAACUCGCUGUGAAGAUGCAGUGUACCCGCGGCAAGACGGAAAGACCCCGUGAACCUUUACUAUAGCUUGACACUGAACAUUGAGCCUUGAUGUGUAGGAUAGGUGGGAGGCUUUGAAGUGUGGACGCCAGUCUGCAUGGAGUCGACCUUGAAAUACCACCCUUUAAUGUUUGAUGUUCUAACGUGGACCCGUGAUCCGGGUUGCGGACAGUGUCUGGUGGGUAGUUUGACUGGGGCGGUCUCCUCCUAAAGAGUAACGGAGGAGCACGAAGGUUGGCUAAUCCUGGUCGGACAUCAGGAGGUUAGUGCAAUGGCAUAAGCCAGCUUGACUGCGAGCGUGACGGCGCGAGCAGGUGCGAAAGCAGGUCAUAGUGAUCCGGUGGUUCUGAAUGGAAGGGCCAUCGCUCAACGGAUAAAAGGUACUCCGGGGAUAACAGGCUGAUACCGCCCAAGAGUUCAUAUCGACGGCGGUGUUUGGCACCUCGAUGUCGGCUCAUCACAUCCUGGGGCUGAAGUAGGUCCCAAGGGUAUGGCUGUUCGCCAUUUAAAGUGGUACGCGAGCUGGGUUUAGAACGUCGUGAGACAGUUCGGUCCCUAUCUGCCGUGGGCGCUGGAGAACUGAGGGGGGCUGCUCCUAGUACGAGAGGACCGGAGUGGACGCAUCACUGGUGUUCGGGUUGUCAUGCCAAUGGCACUGCCCGGUAGCUAAAUGCGGAAGAGAUAAGUGCUGAAAGCAUCUAAGCACGAAACUUGCCCCGAGAUGAGUUCUCCCUGACCCUUUAAGGGUCCUGAAGGAACGUUGAAGACGACGACGUUGAUAGGCCGGGUGUGUAAGCGCAGCGAUGCGUUGAGCUAACCGGUACUAAUGAACCGUGAGG
rnacentral:rRNA from 1 species